GGCCCCCUAGCUCAUGCUUGGUUAGAGCAGCGGACUCAUAAUCCGUUGGUACUGUGUUCGACUCACAGGGGGGCCACCA
rnacentral:tRNA from 1 species